AUCCAGAGAACUUAGCAGAGAUGCUUUGGUGCCUUCGGGAACUCUGAGACAGGUGCUGCAUGGCUGUCGUCAGCUCGUGUUGUGAAAUGUUGGGUUAAGUCCCGNAACGAGCGCAACCCUUAUCCUUUGUUGCCAGCGGCUCGGCCGGGAACUCAAAGGAGACUGCCGGUGAUAAACCGGAGGAAGGUGGGGAUGACGUCAAGUCAUCAUGGCCCUUACGGCCAGGGCUACACACGUGCUACAAUGGCGCAUACAAAGAGAAGCGACCUCGCGAGAGCAAGCGGACCUCAUAAAGUGCGUCGUAGUCCGGAUUGGAGUCUGCAACUCGACUCCAUGAAGUCGGAAUCGCUAGUAAUCGUAGAUCAGAAUGCUACGGUGAAUACGUUCCCGGGCCUUGUACACACCGCCCGUCACACCAUGGGAGUGGGUUGCAAAAGAAGUAGGUAGCUUAACCUUCGGGAGGGCGCUUACCACUUCGUGAUUCAUGACUGGGGUGAAGUCGUAACAAGGUAAGCGUACGUGU
rnacentral:rRNA from 1 species